AGUGGAAUUCCUGGGUCAUGUGGUAACUCUAGGUCUAAUCUUUGAGGAACUGCCAGACUGUUUUCCAGAGUAGCUGAACCAUUUGCAUUCUCACCAGCAGU
rnacentral:pre_miRNA from 1 species